rnacentral:rRNA from 1 species
UGGGGAAUAUUGCACAAUGGGGGAAACCCUGAUGCAGCGACGCCGCGUGAACGAAGAAGGUAUUCGUAUCGUAAAGUUCUGUCCUAUGGGAAGAUAAUGACAGUACCAUAGAAGAAAGCUCCGGCUAAAUACGUGCCAGCAGCCGCGGUAAUACGUAUGAGCGAGCGUUGUCCGGAAUUAUUGGGCGUAAAGGGUACGCAGGCGGUUUAAUAAGUCGAAUGUUAAAGAUCGGGGCUCAACCCCGCAAAGCAUUGGAAACUGAUAAACUUGAGUAGUGGAGAGGAAAGUGGAAUUCCUAGUGUAGUGGUGAAAUACGUAGAUAUUAGGAGGAAUACCAGUAGCGAAGGCGACUUUCUGGACACAAACUGACGCUGAGGUACGAAAGCGUGGGGAGCAAACAGG